rnacentral:rRNA from 1 species
CCUACGGGAGGCAGCAGCGAGGAAUAUUGCGCAAUGGGCGAAAGCCUGACGCAGUAACGCCGCGUGGGGGAAGAAGACCUUCGGGUUGUAAACCUCUUUUUGUAGAGACGAGGGAGGACGGUAUCUAUAGA